UCAUGAUUUUUAUUUAAAAAUUCCAUUAAGCCUUUAUUGUUACGGUAUCAGUUCGGUAUUGUGGUAAUAAUUUGUGUACAGAACUGAACGUUUCGGGGAAUGGAAAUACUCGUGGUGUAUUUUUUAUUGCAAUAAGUUGAAGACGGAGCAAGAUAGAUAUCAUAAGUGUCCUUGAAAAUCUCAUAUUUGCAAAACCCGCAAUAGGAUUUCUACUCCACUCGCUGAAAUAAGAUCACAAUCAAAGUUAAUAUGGAACAACCUUAACAUUGAGGUUCUCGACUUGCAGCAACUCUUGGUCAAAUUUAGAAACGUACACAUUUAGUUCUUAUAAUUUCGGCACUCACCGUGGCCGUUCCUGGUUUUACGGUGGCGCAUGGGAGAAUUGCGGUGCCGCCGAUCUGUGACGUGACAACGGUGCCGUUUUCGGUGACGAACAUGUUGUCCGGAUUUCCGAGCUCGUUAAUCAG